GUGGUUGUGGCUCAGUGGUAGAGCACUUGCCUAGCAUGUGUGAGACACUGGAUUCGAUCCUCAGCACCACA
rnacentral:tRNA from 1 species